GGCUCGGUAGCGCGCGGCGCGCAUCUGCAUCCAGUUACCCGCUGAAAUUGUCCAAAAGCAGAGUGCCUGUUCGAAUCAGGCCCGAGCCA